UACAUGAGUAUGAGAACUGAGUACUGUGAAACUGCGAAUGGCUCAUUAAAUCAGUUAUCGUUUAUUUGAUAGUACCUUACUACAUGGAUACCUGUGGUAAUUCUAGAGCUAAUACAUGCUAAAAACCCCGACUUCAGGAAGGGGUGUAUUUAUUAGAUAAAAAACCAACGCCCUUCGGGGCUCCUUGGUGAAUCAUAAUAACUUAACGAAUCGCAUGGCCUUGCGCCGGCGAUGGUUCAUUCAAAUUUCUGCCCUAUCAACUUUCGAUGGUAGGAUAGUGGCCUACCAUGGUGGCAACGGGUAACGGGGAAUUAGGGUUCGAUUCCGGAGAGGGAGCCUGAGAAACGGCUACCACAUCCAAGGAAGGCAGCAGGCGCGCAAAUUACCCAAUCCCGAUACGGGGAGGUAGUGACAAUAAAUACUGAUACGGGGCUCUUUUGGGUCUCGUAAUUGGAAUGAGAACAAUUUAAAUCCCUUAACGAGGAACAAUUGGAGGGCAAGUCUGGUGCCAGCAGCCGCGGUAAUUCCAGCUCCAAUAGCGUAUAUUAAAGUUGUUGCAGUUAAAAAGCUCGUAGUUGAACCUUGGGUCUGGCUGGCCGGUCCGCCUCACCGCGAGUACUGUCCGGCUGGACCUUUCCUUCUGGGGAACCUCAUGGCCUUCACUGGCUGUGGGGGGAACCAGGACUUUUACUGUGAAAAAAUUAGAGUGUUCAAAGCAGGCCUUUGCUCGAAUACAUUAGCAUGGAAUAAUAGAAUAGGACGUGCGGUUCUAUUUUGUUGGUUUCUAGGACCGCCGUAAUGAUUAAUAGGGAUAGUCGGGGGCGUCAGUAUUCAGCUGUCAGAGGUGAAAUUCUUGGAUUUGCUGAAGACUAACUACUGCGAAAGCAUUCGCCAAGGAUGUUUUCAUUAAUCAGGGAACGAAAGUUAGGGGAUCGAAGACGAUCAGAUACCGUCGUAGUCUUAACCAUAAACUAUGCCGACUAGGGAUCGGACGGGAUUCUAUGAUGACCCGUUCGGCACCUUACGAGAAAUCAAAGUUUUGGGUUUCUUGGGGGGGAGUAUGGUCGCCAAGGCUGAAACUAUGAA
rnacentral:rRNA from 1 species